rnacentral:piRNA from 1 species
AAUCGAGGGUGCUAAAUGUUCAGAA